UACGAAGGGGACUAGCGUUGUUCGGAAUUACUGGGCGUAAAGCGCACGUAGGCGGAUUUGUAAGUCAGGGGUGAAAUCCCGGGGCUCAACCUCGGAACUGCCUUUGAUACUGCAAAUCUCGAGUCCGAUAGAGGUGGGUGGAAUUCCCGGUGUAGUGGUGAAAUGCGUAGAUAUCGGGAGGAACACCAGUGGCGAAGGCGACUACCUGGCCUGUUCUUGACGCUGAGGCGCGAAAGCUGGGGGAGCAAACGGG
rnacentral:rRNA from 1 species